GAUUCAAUCCCCUACCAACCAUGCAGAAAGGUGUCUUGUCCAGUGUUGUGGUUCUUGUUAAAGCCAGGUAUUAAGCCAUUCCCUUUUAAACAGUUUUGUCUCAAAAAAGUGUAACAGAAUAUAAAGAUUUUUCUCUACUAUUCAUAUGAUUGUUGGAUUUACAAAAGAGUAUUCUUGAAACACAAUAAAACUUUAGGCAAAACUUUUAGAGAAAAGGGAUACCCUUUCCCAGAAUAACUCAACAGAGUUAUUUCAUGGGUUAGGUUAAUUGGCAGAUAUUUUUAGCUGAGGUGAAUCUUUCUAUAUAUUUCCUGUAGGUGCUAUUAUAAAUACUACCGAAGAUAUCAAGAGAGAACGUUACCUUCCCAACAUCCGUUUCUUUUUUUUCCUUCCUAAUAGAAUCCUGAUUUUGUCUGGAUAGCGCUGUCCCCACCCAUCCACCCUCCCCCCAACCCAAUGACUGAGGGAUAACAGACCUCACUGUCAAGUUAUUCCUGCUUCACAGAAAGCAGUCAGCACAUGACAUGGCUCUGGCUCCUGCUGAACCCUCCAUUCAGAAGAAAUGCUGUGGUGCUUCCUUUUACCCCAUACAAAAUGGAACAUAAGAAACUACAAAGCUGAACAAACUACAAUCUUCUUAUAAAUGAGAGGCACUGAAGUCUGAGCAGUUUCCAGCUGAGGGAAAAUAACCAACAGCUUCUCCACAGUG
ensembl:lncRNA